CCCUUAGAUGUUCUGGGCUGCACGCGCGCUACACUGAUGCGUUCAACAAGUUGGACCUUGUCCGAGAGGAAAUCGGGGGAAUCUUUUGAAAACGUAUCGUGAUGGGGAUAGAUUAUUGUAAUUAUUAAUCUUCAACGAGGAAUUCCUAGUAAGCAUGAAUCAUCAGCUCGUGCUGAUUACGUCCCUGCCCUUUGUACACACCGCCCGUCGCUCCUACCGAUUGAGUGACCCGGUGAAUUAACCAGAUUGUGGCGAGGGUAGUUUUCUGCUAUUGCUACGAAAAGGUUUGUGAACCUUAUCACUUAGAGGAAGGAGAAGUCGUAACA
rnacentral:rRNA from 1 species